UACGUAGGGUGCGAGCGUUAAUCGGAAUUACUGGGCGUAAAGCGUGCGCAGGCGGUUUUGUAAGCCAGAUGUGAAAGCCCCGGGCUUAACCUGGGAAUGGCAUUUGGGACUGCAAGGCUGGAGUGUGGCAGAGGAGACUGGAAUUCCUGGUGUAGCAGUGAAAUGCGCAGAUAUCAGGAGGAACACCGGUGGCGAAGGCGGGACUCUGGGCCGAUACUGACGCUGAGGAGCGAAAGCGUGGGGAGCGAACAGG
rnacentral:rRNA from 1 species